UACAGAGGGUGCAAGCGUUAAUCGGAAUGACUGGGCGUAAAGAGCGCGUAGGCGGAAGUAUAAGUCAGAGGUGAAAUCCCUGGGCUCAACCUAGGAACUGCCUCUGAAACUGUACAUCUAGAGUAAAGGAGAGGAAAGUGGAAUUUCCGGUGUAGCGGUGAAAUGCGUAGAUAUCGGAAGGAACAUCAGUGGCGAAGGCGACUUUCUGGCCUAUUACUGACGCUGAGGCGCGAAAGCGUGGGUAGCAAACAGG
rnacentral:rRNA from 1 species